CAGGCUUAACACAUGCAAGUCGAGGGGCAGCACAGGUAGCAAUACCGGGUGGCGACCGGCGCACGGGUGAGUAACGCGUAUGCAACUUACCUAUCAGAGGGGGAUAACCCGGCGAAAGUCGGACUAAUACCGCAUGAAGCAGGGGCCCCGCAUGGGGAUAUUUGCUAAAGAUUCAUCGCUGAUAGAUAGGCAUGCGUUCCAUUAGGCAGUUGGCGGGGUAACGGCCCACCAAACCGACGAUGGAUAGGGGUUCUGAGAGGAAGGUCCCCCACAUUGGUACUGAGACACGGACCAAACUCCUACGGGAGGCAGCAGUGAGGAAUAUUGGUCAAUGGCCGAGAGGCUGAACCAGCCAAGUCGCGUGAGGGAUGAAGGUUCUAUGGAUCGUAAACCUCUUUUAUAAGGGAAUAAAGUGCGGGACGUGUCCCGUUUUGUAUGUACCUUAUGAAUAAGGAUCGGCUAACUCCGUGCCAGCAGCCGCGGUAAUACGGAGGAUCCGAGCGUUAUCCGGAUUUAUUGGGUUUAAAGGGUGCGUAGGCGGCCUUUUAAGUCAGCGGUGAAAGUCUGUGGCUCAACCAUAGAAUUGCCGUUGAAACUGGGGGGCUUGAGUAUGUUUGAGGCAGGCGGAAUGCGUGGUGUAGCGGUGAAAUGCAUAGAUAUCACGCAGAACCCCGAUUGCGAAGGCAGCCUGCCAAGCCAUGACUGACGCUGAUGCACGAAAGCGUGGGGAUCAAACAGGAUUAGAUACCCUGGUAGUCCACGCAGUAAACGAUGAUCACUAGCUGUUUGCGAUACACAGUAAGCGGCACAGCGAAAGCGUUAAGUGAUCCACCUGGGGAGUACGCCGGCAACGGUGAAACUCAAAGGAAUUGACGGGGGCCCGCACAAGCGGAGGAACAUGUGGUUUAAUUCGAUGAUACGCGAGGAACCUUACCCGGGUUUGAACGCAUUCGGACCGAGGUGGAAACACCUUUUCUAGCAAUAGCCGUUUGCGAGGUGCUGCAUGGUUGUCGUCAGCUCGUGCCGUGAGGUGUCGGCUUAAGUGCCAUAACGAGCGCAACCCUUGCCACUAGUUACUAACAGGUGAUGCUGAGGACUCUGGUGGGACUGCCAGCGUAAGCUGCGAGGAAGGCGGGGAUGACGUCAAAUCAGCACGGCCCUUACAUCCGGGGCGACACACGUGUUACAAUGGCGUGGACAAAGGGAGGCCACCUGGCGACAGGGAGCGAAUCCCCAAACCACGUCUCAGUUCGGAUCGGAGUCUGCAACCCGACUCCGUGAAGCUGGAUUCGCUAGUAAUCGCGCAUCAGCCAUGGCGCGGUGAAUACGUUCCCGGGCCUUGUACACACCGCCCGUCAAGCCGUGGGAGCCGGGGGUACCUGAAGUCCGUAACCGCGAGGAUCGGCCUAGGGUAAAACUGGUGACUGGGGCUAAGUCAUAACA
rnacentral:rRNA from 1 species